GGCUCCAUAGUGUAGUGGUUAGGACAUCUGUUUUAUACGCAGAAGGUCCUGGGUUUGGCCCCAGGUGGAACCA
rnacentral:tRNA from 1 species